UACGUAGGGUGCAAGCGUUGUCCGGAAUUAUUGGGCGUAAAGAGCUCGUAGGCGGUCUGUCACGUCGGCUGUGAAAACCCGAGGCUCAACCUCGGGCCUGCAGUCGAUACGGGCAAACUAGAGUACUGCAGGGGAGACUGGAAUUCCUGGUGUAGCGGUGAAAUGCGUAGAUAUUGGGAAGAACACCGGUGGCGAAAGCGCCUUGCUGGGUCUGCACUGACACUGAGGGACGAAAGCUAGGGGAGCGAAAGGG
rnacentral:rRNA from 1 species